rnacentral:rRNA from 1 species
UUUAUCUGGAGGAUAGCCUUUCGAAAGGAAGAUUAAUACUCAUAAUAUAUUGAUUGGCAUCAAUUGAUAUUGAAAGCUCCGGCGGAUAGAGAUGGGCACGCGCAAGAUUAGUUAGUUGGUGAGGUAACGGCUCACCAAGACGAUGAUCUUUAGGGGCCUGAGAGGGUGAUCCCCCACACUGGUACUGAGACACGGACCAGACUCCUACGGGAGGCAGCAGUGAGGAAUAUUGGUCAAUGGGUGCAAGCCUGAACCAGCCAUCCCGCGUGAAGGACGACUGCCCUAUGGGUUGUAAACUUCUUUUGUAUAGGGAUAAACCUACCCUCGUGAGGGUAGCUGAAGGUACUAUACGAAUAAGCACCGGCUAACUCCGUG